AAAGUUGCUGAUCGGGCUGGAUUUCUUAAUAGAGAAGGAACCCUCCCCUGAUACACCCUCCCCGUCCCACAUGAUCCCCUUUCUCAUUUCUCCCAUGCCACCUCCUCUUCUCCAUCUCUCCUUCUUCUUCUCAUCUCUUGCCUCGUCUCCUAACCCCUCUUCCUCUCAAAUCACGAAUCCGAAUUCGUUGAGGUGGCUGGCAGGGGCUCUAAGGUCGAUGAUGCCAACGAGAAGGCAGAGCGAUAGGACGAGUACUAUCGUGCUGGGUGGAGCGGUGGUCGGAACGGGUCACCAGCGUGAGAAUAUGGGGCAAGGAUGAGGCCCCUUCAUUUGGCCAAGGUAAUAUCAACACGUCGACCCCAGCCACCUGAAUGACGAAGCUGUCAUCGACCAGAUCGCAAGUUGUACUCAAUGGAUGGCAAUUGAAGACCUCCCUUUUGGAUCAAGGGCAGGCACACGUGACUAAUCCAUGGUUGGCUCACACACAUCUUUCUUUGUUCAUGGAUACUCUAAGUUUCAGAUUUCAGACAUUGAAUUAAAUGAAUAUGCAUGUGUUGUUGCAUGAAAUGAUGCAGAUCAAUGUUUAUAGUCAAUAUAGUUCUGUCGAUAAUUCCCAUUGACUGUAUGCAGGCUCCUCUUUAGAAAAGUAGGUUGUUCAACUAUUGUUCAAUACUCUUUAUAUAAUGGUGGUAAGAUGACAAGGAUAUGCUAAUGGAUUUUUUCUUCUUUGCCAUAGUUGAAACUAUGCAGUCUCAGCUAUGGCCUUGGGAGUCCAACAAAAAAAGUGUGGCCUAAAUUAUAGAUAAUUUCAUUCAUCUCGCCUCUUUUUUAGGUGGCAGAUUCUGAUAGAUUUUUGUGAGCUUCGCCAUGGUUUUCUCUUGCAUGUUGGAAUUAUGCCGAACUAUAACAUUUUUGUGGUACAGAGCUUUUCUUUGAUUGUACUUGUUCAUUGUAGAACAGUGGCAUCCAAUUAUCUUGUUAUAUUCACACUCCCCUUUGGGGGCAGGUAUGGUCAAUGCUUUAGGUUUGCACCUCCUCCUGCAUCCCUGAAAUCCUUUAUGUAUUUUGCCUCCUGUCAUGGAAUGGGAGAUAAAAUCAUCUAUUGGAGUUAGUGGUCAAAUCAGCCUAGAAAUUCAUGGUUAGCUACAUCUAACUAGAUGAUUGCAUUUGGAGGUAGGAUGAAGUUAGGUUGGUCUCUUCCCUUGAAACUAAUUAGCUAUGUCAUGUCCAUGACUAGUAGAUUAUAUAAAGAGAUAGGUUGAGGUUUCACUGGUCAAACUAUCACUUUGUGUUAGGCUGAUACAAACAAUAUUUGUUUAGUUUAUACAAAGGUUACCCGACAAUUUCAUCUUGCUUUUUGGAAAUAUUAGAUGAUAUAAGUAGUGGAACAACUAUCUUUAUGCAAGCAAGAGUGCACACCUCCAGCUUAGACUUAGAGGUGUGUGUCAUGUGUUUCGGUCUAACAGAAACACACACAAAAAAAAUCUAUUUCGCAUUUUUGGACAAUUGCGUGCACCUUGCACACUUACAGCAUGACCUGGGAUGGAAAUGCGGAAUGCAAAUGCAUUAUAGGAACAUGUAUAAAUUAUGAGUUGCUUUUUGUUCGAUCAACAUUGUUCCUCUGUAUGCUACAUGGUUAUUGAUUUGGUGAUUAUUCAUAAUUUAAUUUUGUCAGUACUUACAUGAUUAGUGCUUUUGUACAUCCUUGUUGUGAACAACCACACUAGCAGAGAAAAGCUUGAAGGCAAUUCAAAGUUUACUGAAAAGGAUUAAGAUGGUCAGAUUUACAAGAUGCUUCAUAUGUUGGAUCAAAUUCUGAAUAUGAUCUUUGUGUGUUCCUUUUUGAAUGACUAUGUUCUAAAAAAGAACAAAUAGUUGAGUAGGGCGUUUUGGAGCUCGGGCUCCAUGGAACCCUGUUUUUCAAAACCCCAAAAUACAUCAAAAUUCAUAUUUUUAUAUUUCAAAAAAAUCUGAAACAUAAUGGAUAUACAUGAAGGCAUAACACACAUGUGUGCAAAUUUUUAGAAUAAAAUACGUUGAAACAAGGUCUGUGCAAAAAGACAAAAUUGUGGUUUUAACAAAUGAUACUAUUCAUCACAAAAGUCCAUGAAUUUGUUCUUUUUGCACAUAUCGCAUCUUAUGGUAUUUCAUCCUGAAUUUUUGCAUACAUAUACAUUUCAUCCUUGUGUACUUGCAUAUUUUUCUAGAAUUUUUUGGAACCAAAAAAUUGAAUUUUGAACUUUUCAAAAAUAAAGGGUGCCAUGGAGCCCGAGCUCCAAAAGGCAUUUUCGCUAACAGUUCCUUUAUAAUGGCACCGGCAUGAUGGUUGAGAGCUGUUAUUUUUUGUUUGAGUCCUCCCCAAUACUAUUCUUUCAUUCUCUCUCAUGUUUCUGAACUCUGAAGUUAACAUUCUGUGUUCUGAUUCUAUACUUUCAACUCCUAAUUUCAGGUGAGGUAUCAUUGUGUGUUCGUAUCUCGUUUGAGAGAUAGUUAUGAGUUGACAAUUGCAAGUAUGGAGCCACUUUCAUGUGAUUUAACUUCCACUUCUCUGAGCUUCUCAUUUUUGUUUAAUUUAGACAGAGUAUGACCAUAACAUGCGAUUUAUAGCUAGAUAGUUCUUCCGAUCUGAUCAAUAUUUCCUAUGUAAACCACCAUAUGUCAAUUCUUCAUUGCAUUCGUUGAUGUUUUUCGUAUUUCUACUUGUUUCCUGAUUUCCCUUUUCUCAAUAAUAUGAACCUCCAUGACAGGUGUGGAUAUCGAUCAUGAAUCUCUCCUUUCACAUCAGAUUAUGUUUCAUCUAAAAAGCUUAGAUAUUCUUAUUCCAUCUAUUCCGGCUUAAUGGCUACAUGCAUCGUCCAGAUGUAGAGGCCGGGUGUAUAUCCUCCUUUUCUAAAAACUAAAAGAAAUAUUCUAGCUUAAUACAUAUACCUAGUAAUUAAGCAAAGAAUUAAUGCUUAUUUUGUUGAAUAACUACAACUUUUAUAAUGAAAGGAAAAGCUUUUGGAGGUUCUUGCUUCUCUCUAGAGCUAUAUUUGUAAACUUUGUUUCAAUUCUUGUUAUAUCCUAAAUCUUGCAUGUGGUCCAGAACAAAUGAUGGAUUAUUAUGUACCUUUUAUAACAUGUGACAAAGUAACAUAUACUAGAGUUCAAUGUUAAUACAUCAAGGAGAGCCUAAUAGAGUCCUUCUCUUUUGCUUGAUUUGUUUAUUUUAUUUGUAUUGACACAUAGUUUAUUUUGGUUGCUUAACUCGGUAUUUUGUUCAAACUUCAUGUUACUUGAGCUAACUGUAGAGCAUUAUAUUGCUUAAAGUAAAACAAGAUAAAACAAAUUUUAUUGAUGUGUUAGUUUUGUACCAAUUCAUUUAUAUGAAGUCAAGUGCUUAUUGUUAGAGAUUUAUUCUGAGUUACACGAAGUUGCUUAAUUUGGGGGCAGCAUGUGGCUGAGUGUCUCUGCAUGAUCUUGAACUAGAGCGUGCCAUCAUAGGCAUCAUCAAUAAAAAAAUUGCUCGUGAGGGUUCUCGCUCCAAAUGUUUGAGGAAAAAUGGAUCAACUUAUGAAACAUUUAUGGAUAUCCAAAUUUUACAUUUUUGUAAGUCCAGCUGAUUACCUUUGUUUGUUUUAUAGAUUAAAUAAUGUAUUAGCAGCAACACCUCUUUAUUGCCAGGUUAUAUGCAUUGGUUUAUGCUUGUGUUGUCAUGUUUUUUUCCUAUCACACUGAUUGGGGAACCGGGAUCACAUAUUCCUCUCUACUAGCUAACUAACUAGAAAUUUACUAUGUGAAUGUAUGUCGCAUCACUUCUUCAUAUCAUGCUCUUUGAACUAGUGAGACAUUUCCUUCACACGGUACAGGAAAGAUACCACGCCUCCUUUCUUAUUUGAAAUAAGAGUAAUUAUUUUAUUUUANNNNNNNNNNNNNNNNNNNNNNNNNNNNNNNNNNNNNNNNNNNNNNNNNNNNNNNNNNNNNNNNNNNNNNNNNNNNNNNNNNNNNNNNNNNNNNNNNNNNNNNNNNNNNNNNNNNNNNNNNNNNNNNNNNNNNNNNNNNNNNNNNNGUAAUUUGAAUAAAAGGCAAAAUGUAUCGUUGAUAUGGCUAUUCAUUAUUCCAUUUGUGAAUUCUUUUCCAGAUCAAAGAGAAGGUUUAUGCACCUCUAUUAUGCUUACAGAAAAAGGCAUCACAAGGCUAUGGAUUUUCUAGGGUGGGCACAUUCGCUCUUUGGUCUUCUGGUGCAACAUUGUUUGUGUUGUCGAAUUUUGGCUUUUGGCUCCUCGUGUAGCGCUAUCGUAAAUAAAUAGACCAGUUAGAUGCAUUGUGUCCAUUUGUGCUUUGGGUAAAUAAAUGAAGAAAUUUAGAAAAAUAUAUAUUAUGUUCUUUUUGAUUCAUCUUGUAAGAUUGUUACCUUUCUAUUAAUAUAGACGUACUGCCUUGCUUUGCUUGUUUUGUUUUAUGAGUGAAUGAUUUUCCGCUGUUGUUUUAUCAUGUAUAUUCUUUAACAAUCGGUGUUUCUUUGGAUUCUAUAGACACGUAUACAAAUCCAUCAACUAGAUUAGUGCGCGUAGAUACGCAGAGGAGGUGC
rnacentral:lncRNA from 1 species